GAUGGAUACUCCCUGCUGCCUGGCUGGUUCUCCUGAGAACUGGGAGCCUUUGACCUGGUGCUGACUUUCUGCAGCUUGAAUCCUGGUCCUGAAACAAGCCUCAGGUGGGCCUGGAGCAUGGAUUGGAAAGCAGAAGAGCUGAGUCAUCCCCUGAGAAGAAACCUCCCACAGCAGAUGUUGCACCAUGCGAUCCUGCUGUCUCUUGCAGUCACUGCUGGAAGAACGCCUGUGUCACCUGAAGACCUGUGUGGAGAUAACACGGUCCUGUUCCUCCGGUCACAUCGCUAAAGCAAAGAUAAAUUCCUUGUUCGGUGCCUGGUGCACUGCAAGUGCCAGGAAAUCCUUCCUGUUUGGAAGCAUCCCUGCCUGUAUUGAGACCUUACCUUUGAAAGGCCCUAAUACCAAUGUUUCUGCCAGUCCCAUAGCACUGUGGUAUUAA
rnacentral:lncRNA from 1 species